GCCGACCCCAAAAAAAGAAUAGCGAAAGGGGGCUGACCCGAGGCUGCCGUGUGACGCCGCAGACGCAACUUCCGGGGUAGCCGGCUUGGUUUGCUUUGUUUGGUUUGGUUAGCAGGACGCUUAGCGUCGACCUGCUAUCUCGGUUUGUAUCGGUUUGUAUCUACUUUUCGGUAUUUAUAUCUGUGACCUGUUCUGCAUACUCUGUAUUGUAUUCGCUGCUUCCUCCCUGGAGCUCCGUCUGCAUCAACCACGGUAAGCAUGGAUUGGGAUUGUUCUUGCUCUGCCUUUCUCAUGGAUAAGAUAGCUCUGUUAAAGAGACGUAUCUCUCAGUUAGAGGAUGAAAGGGUAGCGAGCGUAGAGAAAACAGAUAUUCCAGAAAGUAUAGAGAAGAGACCCGCCAGGCGGACUCGUGGAGCUAACGCUAUCGUUAGCAGUGACUCCGUCAAGAUACGCUUGGCUUCAAACAGCUCGUCCAGCAACCAACCCACAUCGGUGGAAACACGUGGUGGUAUCCUGCCCCUGCGACGAUCAGCAAGCUACUUUCAGCUGUCGCCGCAUCACACCUGCAACCAUUACAGCUAUGGAAGAUAAGUUAUCUGGUUCACUUGCACCUCUCUGUAACUAUAGUGGUUCUGUGGAGUGCCUUACUGAUGACCUCAACAUUGCCUUGUCUGUUGCCAUUGAUUCAGUUGCUCCG
ensembl:lncRNA